rnacentral:lncRNA from 1 species
AAGGGGGUGGGGGCCAGGCGGGGGCAUCCGGCCGAGCUGGGGUCUCCGGGCUUCGUCCGGAGGAAGCGAGGUUGCGCUGGCUGGGCAGUCGGAGGGGACGGGACGCACCGGCGGGCGAGCGGACUCGCCCUCUUGAUGACUGAGCCGUCCGGGCCCGUCCUGCCUGGCCGCAGGUGCCCUGGAUGAGGCCGACCCGUGCGUCCCGGCCGGUGAGUGUCCCCGCGGUAGUCCAGCCGGCCGCCUGCCCCCGGCCCCUGCGCCGCCGUUAGUGGCCACCUCUCCUUGCCCCAGUGCCCGCGCCCGGCGCAGUCCGCCUCCGGCCGGCGCCUCCGCACCCUGCGGAGGUGGCAUGGGCCCUGGGGCCGGGAUGGGCCGGCCGGGAAGAGGACCGCAAGCCCGGGCCGUGAGCCGAUGCAAACCGCGCGGCGCGUAGUAGGAGCUUGCGCGUAGUAGGCUCUCAGUGCAUUUCUGAAGAAUUCCUUUUCAGUUUGGAGGAAGGUAGGGUACCUAAGGGAAAAGGGGGUCGUCCCGGGUAUUAGGAGAGUGUUCGUGAUUCGGGUCGGGGGCAGGCCACCGAGUGGGGGCUCAAGGGAAGGGGACACCGGUCAAGUCAUUUUGGGCUCUACUGCUUCGAUCUGGGGAGUCCUCAAGGUCGAAGAGGAAAGGUCCGCUGGGAGAUGAAGGAGGGGACCAGCGAGUGUGGAUGGGAGAAGUGACUGGAGCAUCUCUGGAGGUUUAACCCGAGGUGUAGGUUAGGAAAGGAUGCGGAGGCGGGCGCAGGGAAGACCCCGGUGCAGCAAUUUGGGCUCUUAAGAUUCUUUGGUGCUGGGAUUUGGGUAUUGGAGUAGCCAAAGCAGAGUGACUUUGUGGAGAGGGAGUUGCGUUUAAAGGAUGCUGUGAAACAGUGUAAGUACAUCUUUGGUUCUGAACUUUCAAAGGUUUGGGGGAUCACACAGUUACUAGUAGGUUUUGACAUUUUCUUUUGGCAUUUCAACCCCAUAGGUGGCUUGUCGCUGGACUUGGUCAGUGAUCCUUUAUAUUAAAUUGUCUGUAUAUAUUUGAUGGUAUUUUUUCAGUUACUAGUUUUGCUGGACAUUCUUAUAACUACACCUUAAAAUUCUUGUAGCAGACACUCUAUACUGGUGACUUACUUCCCUAUUUAGUGUUUAGUCUGAACUGUACUAUUAUAAUUUGCCACUAACUUCUAUUCUAGAAGUUUAAUUCAUGCUUUUUCUUUUGUUUCUUUACAAGGUCAUGCAAAAUUGAACUAUAUAUUUCAUAGAAGUUUUAAAAUAUUUUAAGUGUUGAAUUGGGAAGAUAUUGGUAAGCUAACAGCUUACCAAGAAAUUAACUUGAGUUCUGACAGUUGGGACUCUUAUGUCAAAUGCAUAAUUUUAAUUUUAAAAAUCUUACAUUUACAUAACACUUUUGAGAAUGGACUGGGAACAGAGACAAGGAUUACCAAGAUUAGUCAGUGGCUGUUCACAGAGUCUACCUUUGUGGCAGUCCAAGAAGAUUCUUCAUUUCACUGAAAAGAGUAAGCUAAUAACUACACUUCUAGAUCUUUAGUCUUUUUUUUCUUUCUUUCUUCUAAUUUUUGUGUGUAUUUGUGUGUGUACUGAGGAUUGAAACCAGGGUCACUUUACCACUGAGCCACAUCCCCAGCCCUUUUUAUUUUUUAUUUUGCUGGGCCUGGCAAAGUUGCCCAGGCGGGCCUCCCACUUGGGAUCCUCCUGCCACAGCCUCUCAGGUUGCUGGGAUUACAGCAAUCCCCAUUUGCGCCUGGGUUUAAUUUUUUAUUCUCUUAAUCAUGAAUAUUACUAAUUCCUUAUAUUUGUUGCAUACUCUACAGUUUACAAAAUGAAAGCUCAUUGAUUAGGGAGUACUUAAAUAUACUUUUCAAAAAUUUCUAGAUCAUACUUUGCCCUUUAAUUCAUCAGAAAAAACAAUUCUGCAAAAAGGUGCUGUAAUGUUUUUGGUUGGCCUUCUAGUUCUUGAAUAACUAAUGAAUAGUCAUUUUUUUUUUAUCCCUAUUGUCCUUGAAUUUUACUAUUUGUCCUUAGGGAGAAUGUACUGGCAUACAAAACAGUAGCCUAAAAUAUUGAAACUUAACACCUUUUAACAUAUGUCUCCUCCAUUAUUCACCUUGAGAAUUAUCUAUGGCAAACCAGUUGUUGGGAAGACUCUUUUCUCACCUUGAUUAAAUUGGUCUGUUUUCUCCUGUUGUAGAACUAAGAAUAAUAAUGCUUAUUGGCUAUGAAGUAAUGAUAAUAACUAAACAGAAUGAGAAUGCAAAGCUUGGAAAAGAUGUAUGUGUAUGAGUCAUAUUUUUUUUAGAGUUGGAAGAGUAGGCCAUGGAGAUGAUUGUUUUGCAAAUCAGGAAACUAAGGCCCAGAACAGUUGAAGGGACUAAAUUGCUAGUUAAGUGCUGGAGCCAGGAUUAGUGGGCAGAGUUUCUGGACUCCAGGCAAGAGUUUUUUCUGCUUUAUCACAUUCACACUGUUUAUUUCUAAAGUAUUCUAGUGCCAACUGUAAAUAGUUUUUGGAUUAUUUGUGAUGAUGUUCUCUUCUAAGGAUGGAGAAAUUUGGUUGAAUGCUGUUCUUUGUGAGAUGAUGUAAAAUUGGAUGAGCUUUUUAUUCUGAAUUUUAAAACAAUUUGCUGCGUUAUUGGUGGGAAUGCUGAUAGUUUUCUCAUUGGAAAGAGAUAAACUAUCAUGUAGAUUAAAAUAUUAGAUGAACAUCUCAGAGUAGUCUAGCAGUGUAAAAUUUUUAUGCUAAAACUAAUUGCUUAAAAUUUUAGAAUUCAAAGGCUUUCAUAUUUUUAAAGCGAAUUAUAUGAAAAUUAUUAUUUGCAGUAAGUGUGGGGUUUUGUUAUGUUAAAUUUUGGUACCUUUAAGGAGAACAGUAGUAGAAUUAUAGAUAGUUAUGAAAGCAUAAUUUUUAACAUAUUUAUUAUAGAGAAAGGAUUUGUUUCUCAACCACUUAACAUGACUCUCAGACAAGUGAGUUAACUACUGUGUGCCUAGGUUUUCUCAUAUGUAAAGUGUGGUUAUUGAAAGUACCUGCCUCAUAGCAUAGUAGUGAAGAUUAAUUAUGCCUAGCAAUAGUAAGGGCACAGUAAAUACUAGACAUUACGUUCUGUGGUUCAUUAGGUAUAAGUAGGCAUUGUAUGUUCAUUUGUUUCCUUGCUGUUAGCUCAGUCGCUUUCAGGCUACAAAAAAAUUCCCAUGUAAAUACAGGGUCAAUAAUUGUCUGCCUUAAGGGGCACUUAGUGCAAAUGAUGUUCUCUUGGUUUUUUGUUAUUGUCCUUAUCCUUCCUCUGCUUACCUUGAACCUUAAUUAGAGCUGCAUAUCAAGUUAGAGUUAAUGUGUCCUUUUUUUUUUUUUUUUUUGAAUGCUGUGUGAGAUUAAAAUAUGCCACCAAAGUGUGCGUCUUUGGCAUAUUUCCAGAUGGCUAUUCGGAGUGGCUAGAGACACAGGAAUAGCUCUGAAAAGCUGUCCCUUUGUGGGGGAGAGUUGCAUCUGUAGAGGAAACCCACAUUAGUGAAAUAAACAGCUCUGCAAACAGGCUUUCUGUAAGGCUUUAUUAUCUGGGUUUAGGAAAGAUCAUAAGACUCCCUACUUCCCUCUAAGACCCCAGUGUUUCCACAGAAUGUUACAUAUUAUUUUGAGGCUCUUACUUGAGAUACUUUAUGGGUAUGGGGCAACAUCUUUGUUCCCAGUGCAUUUCUUCUCUUUACCCUGAGAUAACCUGUUGUUAUUAUUGCCCCUUCUUCUUUGACAUCCCCCAGGCUCCCAAGCUCCUGUUCCUUUCUGCUGAGAAUACUAUUUGAAUUCAGCCAUCAGGCUCCUUUUAAAAAUGUUUGUGGUGCUAGGGAUUGAAUCCAGGGCCUGUGCAUGCAAGCCAAGUGCUCUACCAUUAAGCUAUACCCCCAGCUCAGGCCCUUUUUUGAGUGUCAUGUUUUGUAUGGUGCCCUAAUAAUUAUAUUAUUGUACAUAAAUAAUUUUGUAUGCCAUUUCUCAUAAUGCCAAUCUAUUAUCAGUUUGUUUUAUAAACUUAAAUAUCAAACUGUGGAAGGGGGAAUGUCAUUCUUUUCUACAAUGUCAUUGGGAGACCUUGCUGCAGUUUCAUUAAUCUAGAGUGAAAAUGUUAGUUGUUGAUUUGCAGGUGUUCUAGUUAAAAUGCAGUCAGUUUUAGAGGCCUGCUAGGUAAGCUUAAGUAAGGAAGUCAGGAAUUUAUAAGGUCUGUUAGUGAGUGAUUGCACCUUUUCUGCCAGUGGAACCAUGAAAAAAAAAUCAUUGAAUCUUGUUUUAAGUGAAUGUUUUGAUUGCUUUAUUCAUUAAAUUGUUAGGUUUACAUGAUACAAUUGUGUAAUUCCAGUUUUAUAACAUAGUUCUUUUUACUUUGAUGUAACCCAAGUCCAACUAAUGUAAAGAACCUUGUGGUUUAGCAGAUGUUUCUGAUGGUGACAGUUGGAGUCAUUAGCUAUCUCAGAAUUCUUUAAUGUGUGCCACCUAAGAUGGUGGAUUUCUUCAGUUCUGCCUUCUCAGUUUCUUCUAUUGCUAUUAUAGCACUCUUCUUCCAUUUGUGGUCCUCUUCGAUUUUCAUUCAUUUUUGCAGCUUUUUCCUUCUGAUAACAUCUUUGCCUCCUGUCUCAACAUGUAUCUUAUUAUGCUUAAUUUUUAAUGGCUUUUUGAACAUUAAUUUCUGCUAAUUUUUAAAUGUAUCUCACUUUUUAAAAAAUAUUAUUUUAAUUUAUUUGUUGAUGAACCUUUUAUUUAUUUAUAUAUGGUGUGAGAAUCGAACCCAGUGCCUCACGCAUGCUAGGCGAGUGUUCAACCCCAGCUCUUUCACUUUCUUUUAAUUUCCCUUAUUUUUGGAAUUUCAUCAAACCGAGUUCAUUUUAUACUUGAGGGAUGAAAAUCAGAAAAUAAAUUAUAGCCCCAAAGUAACUUUGUUAUGCUAAUAGUAGAGUCAUACUGUUUGUUGUUUUGGAUGUCAAGCAGCCAUCCAAUUGGUGGUACUUCAGAUGAUAAGUAUAUGGAUCACUUUAGUCCUAGGUGAUGCUCACAGAGCUAAGAGUUACAUGUAGCUUUCAAAAGUCUUUAGGCAUGUGGCUCAGUGGUACAGCUCUUGCCUCACAUGGAUGAGAUCCUGGAUUUGGUCCUUAGUACUGCUAAGUAAAUAAAUAAAUAAAUGGUUUAUAUGGUCAUAUUUUUCUUCCACUGCAAAAUGACCAGCUCCUGGUGUUAUUUUGAUUAAUUAUUAUAAGAAUUAGAGAUUAUCAUGAUUUAUUGAAUACUUAUUGGAUUUAUGGCAUGCAUUUAGAGAUUUUGAAGAACCAAGACAUGCAGAUGCUUUCUUCAGGCCUGUGACAUAUUUUAAUUAUGUGAAUACAUUAUUUAGUUAAAUAUGAGUGUAGAAUACAUUAGAAAUACCAUGUCAUAUUAAAAUAUAACCCCUAUUCAUUUUCUCAUUAGGUUAGUGUUUUCUCUAUGUAUUAAAAAUAAUAUGGCAUUGUGAUUAGUUAUUCAGGGUACAUGGACUGAGUAUAUGUAGACCAUGUGGAUUACAUUUUUAGCUUUGGUGCGGUCCUAGAGAAUGAAAGAGGGAAAAAUAUGAAGUAUUCACCUGGUGCAGUGUAAUUCUUCACCUACAUUAGCCAACUAUUCUUUCUUUUUUAAAAUUUUUGUUGUUGAUAGACAUUUAUUUUAUUUAUUUUCAUGUGGUACUGAGGAUUGAAUCCACUGCCUCACCUAUGCUAGGCAAGUGCUCUACCACUGAGCCACAGCCUCAGUCCCAAGUAUUCUAGGAAGGAAAAGGUGUUUUGUAUCUGAUUAGAGCAAAAUAAUCUUGAAAGGGUAAUUAAGCUGGAUUGUUGACUCAUGUUAAUGUUGAAUAAAUUUGCAUCUGAGCAGUUUAAAUGGAAAUUAAUUGCUUGCCUUUACAUAUAGGUGAAAAAUUCUACAUAAUGAUUUUAGAGAGGCUGUAAUGAUACUGUUAAGAAAUAUAGUAUAGUGAGAAUAUAUCCACAGGGUCUUAUAUGAUGUUCAACACUGUGGAAAUCAAAAUAUGCCACUCCUAAUAUAUAUAUCUGGCAUAUUUUGAGAGGUUAUUUAGAGAAACUGCCAACACUGAAAUAGUUCUGAAGAGCUGUCCUUUGUAAAAGAAAAUUUACAUCUAGAAAGGAAAUAUGCACUAGUAAACUGUGGCCUACCUUCUCUGAGGUCUCGUUAUCUGCUGAAGGAGAAUCUGGGAAAGAUCAUAUCACAGGAAAAGAGAUUAGAGGUCUAUACCUCUUACUGACAGAGAUUGCCACAGGUCCUAACCUUUUCUUUUAAGGGUAGCUCAAACUACCUGAGAGGCUUUAUCUGCACAAGACAAUCUGUUAUUAACUAUGCAUUGCCCCAUCCCAUGGCUUUUUGACACCUACCCCCAAGAAACCCCAAACCCCUAUUUAUCCAGUGCAUGUGCAUGUACUGUCAGCCUUCUUUAUGCACAGGUUUUUCAUCUGUGUAUUCCACCAACCUCACAUCAAAAAUAUUUGGGGCCUUGCAUGGUGGCAAUGUGCCUAUAAUUCCCCCUACACAGGAGGAUGUGGCAGGAGGACCAAGUUCAAGGUCAGCCUCAGAAACUUAGUGAGACCCUUGCCCAGAAUAAAAAAAUAAAAGGGCUGGAAAUGUAGCUCAAUGUUAGCACCCUGAUUUAAAUCUCCAGUACUGCCAAAGGAAAUAUUUGGAAAGUUACAUCUAUCUGUACUGAACAUGUAUAGACCCUUUUUGUCAUUGUUUCAUAAACAGCACCAUAUAACAACUAUAUUUUAUUAGGUAUUACAGAGGAUGUGCAUAGGUUAUGUUUGCAUAUACUAUGCCAUUUUAAUAAAGGACCUGAGCAUCUGCAGUGUUUGAUAUCCUAGGAGUGGAGAGUGUCCAAUUCCCCUCUGAUAGCAAGAGAUUACUGUAGAUUCUAAAGCUAAAGAAUUAACUCACUAAACAUUAAAUAUAACCUGUUAGGAGAAGUCCAGGAACUUUCUUAAGGUUAAAGUAUGUGUGUAGCCAAAUGGGGAGCUGAUUUAUUUGGUUAUUUAUUUAGUCUUUGAUUUUGGCUAUUUACACGAGAUAGCAGUCUAACCUCAUUACCCUUCAGGUGAUCAAUGCUAGGACCAGUUUUAUUAAUGUUUAAAAAGUGAUUUAAAAGUCACACUGGCAGUGAAAGUUGCCAGAUUUGUAGCUGACACCAUGUGCUAUUCCAGGUAGUUAAAAGCCAAGCCAACAAGGAGAAGCUACAGGAGCAUCCUUUGAUGAGUGACACAGAACAAGAUAAUGCAUUUAGGAGAAGAUAUUCCAAAUUAUAUUUAUAGGACCUGAGUUGUGACCCAGGAAGGGGAUCCAGAAAAUUUGUAGAUGACUACCUUGAAGGCAUUUAUUGUAGUUGUCGCUGAGCCACAAAGUCCAAGAAUCUGUUGAGGGUGGUUGGGCAUAGGUCUGAAAGCACAAAUGAUGUUGUACAUACAUAAAAAUAAUUAUAAAGAGGAUUACCAUUUUUAAUUAUUUGUUAUAUUCCAGGCUAAGUGAUUUAUAGUCUUUCCAUUUAAUUCUCUUAAUAAUUCUGAAAGGUAGGUGGCUUAUUACAUUUUAUAGAAGAGGAAAUUUGACUCAGGGAAAAUAAGUGACUUUCCCAAGUCAGCAGUUAUGUGGUGGAUUAGGGACUAGGGCUCUAGGCUUUUGAUUGUUAAUCCUGAACAUCUCCCAGGAUGUUAGUAGGCAUCUCUUAAAACUUCUGAUAGUUUUAAUUUAGGACUUCUGAAGUGCUCCUUAACUCCUUGCUGUGUUCAGCUUUGGAUGUCAGUUACCAAAAGGAUAGUGUCUAAAUACUUGGAGAGGAUUUAGAGACAUUCUUUAAAUUUUUCCUUUUAAAUGAAAGCUGGGGAUAUUUUGGUGUAGUUUUACCCCUUGUAAUUGGCACAUAGUUUCUGGCUGCCCAAUAAGACAUUUCUCCCCCUGACUUACAAAAUGCUGGAUUAUUAAUAAUCAUUAAUAAAGGUAACAUUAAUUAACAAGGAAAAUAUUGUGUAGUAGAAAAAGUCAUCAGGGUAGUAGUCUAGAGACCUGGGUUCUUCUACUGGUAUAAAACAAUGAAGUGAAAAACAUUAGAAUAUAGGCAUAACAUUGUUGUUCUUGGGGUAGAGAAAUGCUUGAGCCAUAUCUUGAGAGAUGGGCAAGUGACAGAGUUAGAGUUGUAGACAGAGAGUAGAGCAGCAUAUUUUGGAAUCCCAGAAAAUUAGUUUGUAAAGACCAAGUGAGUAGGUAUGUAUGAAAAUUCUUUGUAAAUUUUAAAUGCUGUUCAAAUGAGAGUGAUAAAGAAAUCCUUUUGUUCUUGUAAAGGGUAGACAAUGAGGAUGCAGUGAAAACUGGUGGCAGGAAAGAAAAAGAGUAGAAACAGCAGAGUGAUAUUAAAGAUGAAAGGGAAAAAGAUGUGAAGAAAAUAGUUUGCUUUGUGUCUGCUGUAUUAAAUGUUUGUAACUAAAGAAUUAUAACAAUAUACUGUUAAGGAAGGAAUUUAGCAGGUAGUUUAAACAUUUUAUUCACUUUUCCAUUUAGGCUACACUGACCAUGUUAAUAAGGCCAGGAAUAUGGGCUAAUUGAGAGCUGGAUGUAUUAUCUGAUUGUUUGGUCACUCAUUACUUCUGUGCAGGUUAGUUAAUGACUUUAAAUAGUAGGGUGCUCAUAAAAAUAAAUAAACUGGACUGAGUUACUAUUUAUUCUGGGUAAUUAAAAAUGAAAGGGCAUAGUGUGUUUAAAGAGAAGAGUGAAGUUUGAUCUUUCUAAGUGAGUGCAAAAGAAAAUUAGGAAAUCAUAUUAGGACCAGGGUAGAAUGGAAACAAAUGGUGAAGAGUCUUUUAUGCCAUGCUAGGAGUUUGGAUUUUUAUUUCGUUUUGUAGGUGGGGAAGUGACACAAACAGUUUUGUGUUUUAGAAAAGUAAUUAUAAGCAUAAUAAAGAAAAUGGGCUGGAGGAAAAGAUAUUGGGGACAUUUACUCACCAAGUAAUUAUUGAACAAAGAAUACAUAUCACAGGCCGAGUGAAUGAGGCAAAUUCUCUCUGGCUUUUGAUAGGUAGAUCUCAAUGAAGGAUGCCAUUUAAGGCUGUGUCAUAUUUCAGGAAAGAGAUUAUAUGAUGAUUUGAAUUAAGAAAUUUAUAGUGCAGAUAGAAACAAGACCUCUUACUUCAGAAAAACUUAGGAUAUUUAAGUCUCCAGACUUUGUUAGUAUUGGAGGUGAUAGAAGUUGAGGAUGAGUCUAUGGUCCCUCAAUUGGCAGUAGGAUAAGAUGGACAAAUUUGUCAGAAGGGGAGUACUGAAUUUGCAUUCUGACGAGUGAUGGUGCUUUUUAGAUAAGUAACAGUAUGACCAAGAUAUCAUUGAAUGUAUAGGUUUAGAUCAGGUAUCUGGUCAGUUUUCUAUAUAUGAUUUGGAAUUUAUAUAUUUAUAAUUGAAAAUCACGAAAUUGUACAAAUAAUAACCAAACUUUCUACACUAUAAUGCAUUCAUAACAAAAAGUAACUUGCAUUUCUUGCACUUACUUCAAGAAUGUAAACAUUUGAAAGUAUUUACCUAUUAUCUACCAUGUAGCCUUACCAAAAAAAAAAUGUAAAAUAUGCAUCAGAAAACUAGAAAUAGUUAAGUGUCUGAGAAACAGUGUAUUGGAGUUUUCCUUCCUUGGUGGCCUGAGUAGCUAUGCAGUUACAGUACAGGGGCUGCUCAGAAAAUAUAGCUCCUUAUUCCUCACUGCAGUUUCUUUUUAGAAUUCCUAUUUGCUUUCUUGGGCUGUAAAGGUAGUCUGAACAGAGACUGAAACUCAAGAGUCUUUUUCAUCAUCUUUAAAAUCUAUUCCAGAGCAUCCUUAACCCACCAGGUGUUUUUUUUGUUGUUGUUGUUUGCCUCUUUCCUUCCUAUCCUUCUAGCACUUUAGAGCGUAGGACCCUGGCAAAUCCAAGAAGGAAAAGUAAAGAUAGUAUGAGAGGAAGAACUACAAAGACUGUUAUAACUCUGCAGUUGUUGAGGGCCACAGCCAAGUUGGGAUGAUGCAUGGCAUUUUGCAGAAGGGAGUGGUUGAGAGGUGACGCCAGCAAGCCAUUGAGAUGAUGAUGGUUAUGUUAAGUUGUGUAUUCAGCUGUAUACAGACCUUUACUGUCCGGCAAUAGGGCGGCUCUUGCUGCCUUGGGCGCCCGCUACUUUGGAGUUCCUGUUGAGUUCUCACGGGAUCUGGGAGGGUAGGCGGGGAGAGCUGAGAGAGUUCCCGGGGGAGUGUGCGUGGAGUGCUGGUGGAGUUUGCGUAAUAAAGUUUGUUCCUGCUCGAGUGGCUCGUGAUUUGUGCCCAGCCAGACUGCGGUAUGCAGUUCUACCCUAAAAGUUCUCUAUAAGCCAGGGGAUGGAGUUGGUGAGUCAUUAAAAUGAGAUGUCCAGUUUCAGUUUCAUCUGUUAAGGGUAAGAUUUUUUAAGUGCUGAGAGGAAUGUGGGAAAAAAAUCUAACAUAGAUGAUUGGGCACUUAAGGGAGGCAGAAAGAUAAGACUGCACAGUGAAAAAAGUAGGAAGAUACUUUUAAGAUGUGGGGGAAACAGUACCAAGAAAGAACAUUAAGGAAAAAAAGCAAGGGCACUGGUGAGCAAAAUUCCAUAUCUAAAAUGCAUAGUUUUAAGUUGGGAUUAAUAAAGUAUUUAGAUGAUUGAAGGCUAUGUUAGCUUUUCAUCACUAUAAUAAAAUAUCUUGAGAUAACCAGCUUGUAAAGAGAGGGUUUUUUUCUGGAGCACAGUUUUAGAGGUUUCAGCCUGUGAUUUGUUGGUGCUUUGGGCCUGUAGUGAGUGAGGUAGUAUAUAAUGGCAGGAGCAUGUGGCAUAACAAAACUACUUAUCUCAUGACCGAGAAGCAAAGAAGAAAGAGGAAUAGAUUAGUGUCCCACAGUCUCCCUUGAGGUCAUACCCUCAGGGACCUAAGGACCGCCACAGAAGGUCCCAUCUCUUAAAAGUUUCUACCACCUCCCAGUAGUGCCAUAGGGACCAAGCCUUUUGAUACUUGUGCCUUGAGGGUCAUUCAAGAUCCGAACUAGCAGUUUGAAUUGGAAUUAAUAAGAAAUUAAUAGUAGUUAGAUGAUUGAAGACCAAGGUUGGAAUUGGAACUCCUUCUAGUAUAUAAGUAGAAUUAAACUGAACAGAAGUGGUAAUGUAACUUAAAUAGCAAUUUAGCACUUAAAUGAUAACUUUAUAUAUAGUUCAUAAUGUAUACAGCACUGAUUACUUAAUUUUUGUCUAAAUCCUUUGUGUGUGUGUGUGUGUGUGUGUGUGUAUGAAUAAGCAAAAUUUUGAGUUUGAUGAAGUCCUAUUUUAUGCUAGUGUUUUCUGGGUCCUGAGUUCCCCCACAGUUGUGAAGAUAGUCUGUUUCUUUCCACAUGCUUUACAGUGAUAGCUUUUAUUCUUAGGUCUAUGAACUGUCUUGGAUUGUGUAGUGGGGUUGAAGUAUUAGUUGAAGUUAAAUGUUUUCCUCCAAGUAGAUAGCUAGUUAUUUCAGAAAAAUUUAUUCAAAAGGCUUUCCUUUCCCAAUUAGUUGCUUUAGUCAAAGAUCAGUUGACAAAAUAAUUGGGUUGGUUCUAUACUGUGUUUGGUUUGUUUCAGUUUGUCAGUUUUUCUGUCUUCAUACCAACAUGCCAUUGUCUUGAUUAACAUAGCUUUAUUUGUCCUGAAUAGAGUAAUGUAAACCCUCCAAUUUUGUUCUUUUUUUUUUUUUUUCGCCCUCAGGAUUGUGUAGGCUUUUCUAGGUACUGUGCAUUUUCAUAUAAAUUUUGGAAUCAGCUUAUCAACAUCUACAAAAAAAAAAAAAAAAACCUACUGAAAUUUUUAUUAGAGGUGCACUGAACCUAUGAAAUUGGAGAAAAAUGACAUUUUAGCAGUAUUUUUUUUUCAAUCCAUGAACAGAGUGUAUCUAUUUAAUUUCUUUAGCAAUGUAAUGUACUUUACUGUGGGUGUAUUAUUUUCAUCAAAUUUGUGAAAUCCUUGUCUUCAAAUUUUUUAUUUUCCGAGUAUCUUUUUUUGCUCUUCAGACUCUAGUCCCACAUAUGAGCAGCCACUCAUAGGUAACUGAGAUUCUGUCUAUUUUUCUUGCAGUCUCUUUCUCUUUCAUUCGGUUUAGAAAAUUUCUGUUGCCCUCUCAAGUACAUUGAUUUUUUUUUAAAACUUUUCCUUUGUCUAAUUUGCUGUAAUGCCUGUCAAAGUUAAUUUCUUAUGUUAGAUAUUCUUUUCACUUCUAGAAUUGUGUGGUUCCUUUUUCAUAUGUACAGUUUCCACUCUGUUGAGACUUCUUGUUGUUGCUCAUUAUUUUGAUGUUUUUGAGUCUUUGAACUCUUUUAAUUAAAAUCUGUGUAUUCAUUUUAACCAUUUUAUGUUAUUUUUAUGUUAUUAUUUUCAUAUUUUAUGUUAGUAUUUUCUGGGUCCUGAAUUAACCCACAAUUGUGAAAAUAGUCUUGUGUUUCCUUCCAGAUGCUUUAUAGUGAUAACUUAUUUUAAAGUUGUGAACUUCUUUGGAUUAUGUAGUGGGUCCUGCCAUAUCUGGGUCCUGAUUAUAGGUUAUAAUUGCUUUUUCUUAUAUCUUAUUAAUUUUCAUGGAUUUAUGAUGUCUUUCUUUUUUAAGGUGGGUUGAUCUUUCUUUAUUACUGUUUUGUUCUGGCAGGCAAUCAACUUGAUUUUCAAGUUUUGUUUUCAGGGUUUUUGGUUUUAAGGAUUUUUGUUUGUCUUGGGAAGUUCUGCAAGAACUAAACUUUAGUUUAGGACUAGUUGAUGACCACGAUGUCCUUUCUUGCAUCUCCUUUGGUUGCCCCCAUGUAUUGGUCAAGCUUUAUUUGCCCUACCUGGUAGGGACUGAGUGAUCCCAACAGUAUUUGAACUCUGUGAGUUCUUGAAUGAGAUCUUCCCAGUAUUUGUUAUUUUCUUGAGCACUUUUCUCUGUCUGGUCUUGUGGAGUUACACAGCAUACAUACACAGAUAGGUAUGUGGCUAGAGACUCAAGAAGGUCUCUUUUGCAGAUUUUUGAAACGUUUUCUCUGCGUAGCUUCUUCCUUUGUGGUACUGUGCCCUGUGGAUUCUUGCUGCUUUAGGGUGCUACAAAGUCUUUUCUGGCUCCUCAACUCAGUCAGAUUCUUUUUGGCCCUCCCUCCCUUUCUCCCUCUCUCCUUUCCUCCCUUCCUUCCUUGUGGUUCCAGGCAGAAAGCUGGAAAGUCAUAGAAUUGCUUCAUUUAUUUUCCUUCUUUCAGGAAGGAAUUAUGUUUCCACACUGCCUCUUAUCUAAUGUCUUAAAACUAUCAUUUGGUAUUUUGUCUAAUUUUCUGCCUGCUUGUAAUGGGAGGACAAUUCUGGACCUUGUUAUUGCCUUAUGACCAGAAGUCAAAGUCGUUUGCCUCAAUGAAGUUACAUACCAAUGUAAACUCGUUGUAAAUUGAAAAUAUGGUUGUCAAAAAUGCAUAUAAUACAUUUCACCUAUUGAAUAUGAUAGUACACUGUGGAGUGUUGGUUGUUCACCCUUGGGAGUUGUGGCUCUCUGCCGCUGUCCAGCAUCAAGAGUGUAUCGUACUACAUUUUCCUUGCUUGGGAAAAGAUCAAGUCAAAGUAUCGAUUUUAAUGAAUGUGAAACAUUAUUUUUCACACCACUGUCAAAAAAGUCAUAAGUUGAACCAUCAUAAAUUGGGGACCAUCUGAACUGCCCACAUUUAUUGUUGUUUGUAGUAGCAGGUUUAGCCCAGCAUCACUUACUGCAUCAUAACCUGAAAUGGAAAUACAGAAACUUUAGUUUUUCUUCAUAAAAACGGUAUAGUUUUGGUAUUUUGUGCUUUUUAGGGUAUGACUUGAUUUGUAAAAUAUAGCAUCUUUUGAUUUUCAGUCAAUAUAGAGAGGUAUAAAGGAUGAAAAAAUCUUUUGAAAAAGGAAAAAUAACUAAAUAUUCUAAAACAAGAGUUUAUGAUAGCUAUUUGACUUCAUUUCAGAUUUUUUUAUUGAAAAUAUCUACAUAGAAGAGUAAUUUUAUUUAAAACUUUAAAAAGAGAAACUUGUAUUCGUUUUAUUAAAAAUACUUAAGUUUAAUUAAUGAAGGUAAAUUGUUAAACAGAAACAAUCUGGGAAAAAUUGCUCAACCACAGAUAAAUAUUUAAUUACUGAAAGAGCUAUCACUUCCUAAAAGGUCUUCCUCUAAGCUUAAGAAAUAAGUUUUUAGAAAAAGGUUAAAGUCAUUAUGUCUAACUGCAUGCUCCAAUAGAUCUCUCACAUAAAAAAGGGUCAAGUGUUGGCAUACAGUAGUACAACUUUCUAAAUGGCAAUUUGGCAAUAUUCAGAAUCCUUUAAAAUUUUUAUACUCUUUGCCCAAAAAUUGCAUUUUCAGGAAUUGAUUCUAAGAAAUAAAAGAUGCACACAAAUGUAUAUGUGUGUUAUUUACUCAUCACGAUGGCACUUAUAAUGUUAAAAAAUUAGAAAUUUAAUCUUAAAUGAUUAAAAUUAUGGUGUGGCAGUAUAACCAUACCAUUAAAUAAUUACAAAUGAUGUCCCUUAAAAUUUUUGUUUAGUGUACUGAUUAUAGUAAUUGUCAGGAGAUUAAAAAUUAUGAGUAUUAGGAUAUUUAAUGGUAGAAUAAAGUUUUCACUAAUGUAAAAAGUAGGUUGAUACUUUUGAAAUCCUUGAAAAGGAAACAUUUACUUUUAAAAGUAAGAUGUAAACUUUGAAUAGAUUUUUUAAAAUCAUCUUGUACUAUUUAAUAUUUUUGACUUUUUCCACAAUAAGCAUAUACUGUGUUCAUAAUCAUCCAAGAACAUACUUUAAUUUUUAGAUUCUUAUAAAAUUAAUGUUUGGGAGGAUAAGGAAAGAAUUUAAGUGAACUUAGUUUUUUAUUAUCUUGAUGCCUUUUUUCCAUUUUUGCAGAUAGUUUAGCUUCAACUUUUUUUUAGUUUUAAUGAGACAUUUAUUCUUACACAUCUAAUAUGUAUCCUAAAUUUUUAAAACAAAUUAAAACAAUUUCUCAUGUCUCAUACUGUAAUAUUGAAUUUCCAUCAGACACAUCAUUAUGCACUUGAAGAAGUUUAAUAUUGCUUUCUUCUUUCCUCCCCCCCCCCCCGCCCCACCCCAGAGCUGUUUUGAAGAAGUUUUGGUCUUGCUUUCUUGGCCACUAUUUGUAAUCCCCUCAUUGCAGGUGUUUAUGUCCUUAUGUUAAAGAAAGAACAGAAGUCAAAGUCUGUAUUAUUCUAAAUAGUAUUCUCUAUUUGGUGGCUAUCCCUUUCAUCUUAAGCAUAUGAACCUAGUGCUCUGCAGGAAGCUUCAAAUACUUUGCUGUAUAUAAAACCUGUUAGAAAUCUAGAGAAGAGCAGUUAUAGCACAAGCCUGUAAUCUCAGUAGCUCGUGAGGCUGAGACAGGAGGAUUGGGAGUUCAAAGCCAGUCUCAGCAAAAAAAAAAAAAAAAAAAAAAAAAAAAAAAAGGCACUAAGCAAAUCAGUGGGUGCUAAGCAACUCAGUGAGAUCCUGUCCCUAAAUAAAAUAUGAAAUAGGGCUGGGAAUGUGGCUUUAGUGGUCAAGUGCCCUUGAGUUCAAUAUCUGGUUGUCCCCCACACUCCCCGAAAAGAAAGAAAUACAGAAAAGAAAGUAAUGAACAAAUAAGUUAACUCCAUAGAGGCACCAUUCAUACACCAUUCAUCGAUUACUUUAAUAUAAACUCUUUAGACUGUUCCUUAGCAAAUGUAGACCCAGAACUCAUUUGGGUGUGAGAGAUGUACUUCAGUCUAAGCAAACUCAGAGAAGACUAACAUAAAAAACAGAGACUAAUAUAAAAAGCUUUUAAAAUUUAUACUAAGAUUAAACAAGCCAUGAUAGUCUGGUGGCAUACAUCUUUAUUGUAAGACUGUAUCUCCCAAAAAGAUUUGAGUGAUUGGGUCCACUGAUCAGAGCUUACUGAUGCUUUUCUGAAAGCUUGAGACAGUGGUUUAUAAUUCUACUUUAUUGUUAGGCUUUGUGAAGGGCUCUGAAGGUGUAGACAAAGUAUUUAACCUGUUGAGCCUCAAGUUUUUAAUCAUUAAAAUAGUAAUAACUAGCUACCUUAUAGAAUUGUAGAGAAUUAAAUAAAACAAUCCAUGUAAAAUGACUGGUACAGUGCCUAGCAGAUAUCCUCUUCAUUGUUCAGAUUAUUUAAUUUCUUCUACUUCUAGAUUUGAAGUCUGGAAUUUAAGAAAGUGUACUUGAUCUUUCCUUGUUCCCUGCAGAUGUUUCUGGGAACUCGACUGUUUUGGUAUUACAGAGGCACUAAUAUCACUUGAUUUACAAGAGUAUCAUUGUUUGGAGUAGAAACUUUUACUCAAUCUAGUUAAGAAUUAUGAAUUUUUACAUAUAUUAUGUUUUACUGAUAUAUUUAGUAAGAAUCUUUAUUUUAAGAAAUUUAGUUGUACUUGCUUUUCUAAUUUGGCAUUUCUAAAACAACUGGAUAUUUCUUGUAAAACAAAGUAUAUGUCCAGAUAACAAUGUUAUGUUAAUAAGCUGUUUUUACUUAUAACUGACAAAUUUGUUAGUUUUUUGUUCUAUGGUUAGUGUUUUUAAAUUCAUUAUAUUUGUAAAUUAUGAUGUUGUAAGGGAUCUGGUCCAAUUCUCUGGGAUUAUAGAGAUAGAACCAGAGUGAAAUUAAGCCAGACAGCUGAUACAUCCUAGGGGGUCCUUGGGACUGUGAGGUGCCAGUGCAGUUGGGCCCAGGACAGGGAGGCCCUUGAUGUAAGUGUUUAUCUCUGGAGCAAACAAGGAGAACAGCCAACUAUUCCUUUUGAGUGUCAGCAUCUUUUCUUUCACAUCUCUGUGAGAAGGUAGUAUUGAAUUUAAGUAGCAAGACUGCUGUCCCAAGGUGCAAACAUCCUGAGUGAGUCCCUCCAGGAUGGAGCUCCUGCCCGCCCCUCCUUUCUUGUUUAGUCAAAUCCAAGUCAGAGAUGAAAUAACAAAUGUCCUUUUUAGGUCAGGUGUCAUGUCUACUGGGCACUGUAGAACAUUUGAACUCAUCCAAGAGUUUGUUAAUGGCAGAGCUGGGACAUGUCUCUGGACUUCAGUCUUAUCCCAAUUAUCUCCCUGCUUCAGAUGAAUUUCUUUUCAGUUGGAAGAGAUCUGUUUAAAAGAGACAUCAAUUUAUUAAGAAAUGUUUUGACAUCUAUUUAGAUGCUAUUUGCUAGUUGUACUGUAUAUUACUUUAUUAUAUACAGUUUGGUAUUUAAUUAUCUUACAGGUCUGUGUUACCUCCUUAGCUGAGUCUCUGAGGGCCAGUAGGCCAGUAUCAUUUUGGUUUCUCUUUUAGAUGACCUUUAAGGCAUGAAAUAUUUUAAACAUUCAAUAAUUAACUUGUUGAUUAGUGGGUAAAUAUUUCUGAACAGUUUUUUUUAAUUUGUAUCCAAUUUCACAUUUUAACAUAAUAGAAAACAUAAAUAGAGAAAGCCAGAUUUGUUACUUAAGGCUCACAUCUUUGGGAGAUUUAAGAUUAAGUUACAUAGGCAUUGUUGUUAAUUCAAAGAACCUAGUGCUCCUACAUUAAACUGACGUUUAACAUGUUAAGAAUUAGGGAAAGUUAGGGACAAUAUGAUAGGUCACUUAUUUAAAUAAAUGGUUUAGUGAUCUCGUUGGUGUGUGUGUGUGUGUGUGUUUUAAAUCACAAUCUAAGAGGAGCUACUAACUUUUAACGUACUGAUUUGCUGUGGGUUUAUUUACUUAGGGAAAAAAGAAAUAUUCCAUGCCUUCUUAGAUUGGUUUGCAAAGUGGUGCAACUGUGGUCAGUUUUAUUGAUCCUAGUCAGCGUUCUUCAGAACUGCGUGUUUUGGGUGUCAAGAGGAAUUAAGUGAAUCCAUCCUGGCAGGUGGCAUCACUGGUAGAGGAGAGUUAAAGGAGCCAGGAAACUUUGUCCCCAAGAGUGAUCUCUGAGGAAUCUCAGCUGAUUCUUUAGAUAGGACUCUUAAGUAUUGACCAACUUUGUCUUAAACUUCUGGCAGGAGUGUAUACCCUGAGAACAGUCAUACAUAGACAUUUAAAAGGAAAAACAAUGGUUUAUUUAAGUGGAACUUAAGAUGUACACUUUAAUGUCAGCCCUACCAAAAGUAAGUAAAGCUGGAGGCUAUAAAUGAGGGAUUCUUGUGUGAGAGUGCCUAAUAAUAAUGAUCACAAGAGUCACAAAUUUGUCCUGAGUUAAUUUGAGUCUGAUUUCAUAAACUACAAAUCUUCCUAACCUCCUAUAGUGAUGAACUUGAUCUGUUUUUCACUGAUUUUGAGUUACUGUUCUCAAGGUUUUCAGAGACUGGCUGAAAUACUAAUUGUUUUUAUGCUAAUUAUUUACCAAAAAAGUAGUGCUUUGCUGUCUUUAUUGUUGUCUUAACAUGAUCCCUGCCCGAUGUGUGACUUGUCCAGUCACCUGCCAUCUGUCACUGUUGGACCUCUGGAUUCCUGUGAUGUUGAAUGCCCUUAACUGUCCACGCCCCACCGGAUAGAGAACAAGGGUUUUGGAUUACUUCCCCCAACAUCUCCCCCUUUCAAUGUGAAGCAGUUUGGAGAUGUCAUUGCCCAUUUUUCUGUAGAAACGGAUAGUGGGGAAAUGUAAUGGUAGUCCACUUUAUGCUUUGAAUAUUCCCCUUGCUGCCCUGCCAGUGCAAAUUGUUAUUUUUUAAAAUAUUUUUUAGACGUUGAUGGAGCUUUAUUUUUAUUUUAUUCAUUUAUAUGUGGUGCUGAGAGUUGAACCCAGUGCCUCACACUUGCUAUGCAAGUGCUGUACCACUGAGCCACAACCCCAGCCUGCAAAUUAUUUUUAAAAUGGACAUUUCUUUCUCUUCUUCUCUCCCUGAUCCUCCUUAAUCUCUCCAGCCUUGCCUAAUCUCAAGGGAAACAGGAUUACCUUUCUUCCCCAUCCUAGGCAGUUAUCUGUCCCUGAGUACACACCUACCAUAGGAAGGAAGUAAUCCAGACUUUGGGGAUGGUACCAGAAAAUCUCAGAAAUGACUGUCUCCCAGAUUAACAAGUUAGUGAAUUACAACUCCAACAGAGAACUCGUGGAAUGUAGUUUUGAGUCACCUCUUUAAAAGCCCCCUGUUCCUGCUGAUGAGCAGAAUCACAGCCUUUGGCACAGGAGUCCCCUGUGUUUCUCCUUUGCUAGUAAAGCAAUAAACCUUUUCCCUUUUUCUCAAAAAAAAAAAAAAAAGGGAAUUAGGUGAGAGAAUUUAUGGAUAAAUUAGUAUGAAUCUGAAACUGCUGUCAGAAAAAAAAGGACGUAUUAAUGAUAAUGAACAAUAUUUUUAUUUCUAUUCCAAGGACCCAAUUAAUAUAUAGUAUGAAUGUGAAAUAUUCAUUAAAAUUUAUAUUUGUGUAUAUCAUGUUUGUAUUGUCUCAAAUUAUCAUUUAUGUGCUGUCGUAAAUAUUUGGUUUUGAUAUUAAAUGUUAAUAACCUCUGCUAUUGGUUGAGACAUUGUAUUAGUCAGCUUUCAGUUACUGUAACAAAAUAUCUGAGCUUGUCAACUUUAAAAGAGGAAAGGUUUAUUUUGGCUACAGUUUUGGAGGUUUUAGUCCAUAUAUGCCUAUGGUAGCAUAUAGUUGUGGGGAGCCUGUUUGCUUCAUGGCAGGGAACAAAACAAAGAAAGAGAUCAGGUCCUUCAGUCUCUUUCAAUGACAGGCCCUCACUGCUUUAAAACUCCCCACUAGGCCUCAUAUUCGAUUAACACCAAAUUAAGGACCAAGCCUCUUACCACAUGGGUUUUUUUCAACCUAAGGUAGAAAUUAGUUGUUUCUAAGUCUCAAAUUACUUUUAAAAAUUUUAGUGUACUGUGCUGCAUCUUCAUUCUCCCAUUUUUCUGAUGCACACAUACUCAAAACAUUUAAUUUUAAGACUUAAUUUGUAAGGAAUUAGAAAGUCUAAGGUAAUUUAUGCUUAUGUACUUUUAAAAUUUAAAAAUUAACAUAUAGCAAAAUUGAUUAUUCAGUAUAUUGCUGUAUAAAUUUUAACUGGUACAUAAAUCCAUAAAACCACCACCACAGUCAAGAUAAAGAAUCACUCUGUUACCCCAAAAAACUACCUGGUACUCUCUCGUACCACAUUCCUAGCCCCUGGCUUUCCUGCUGUAACUCUGGAUAACCACUGAUUUCUUCUAAAUUGAAGCACUCAGUAUGUUUGUUACCUUUUAAGACUGACUGCUUUCACUUAGCAUGACUUUGAAAUUUAUCCAGAUUGUUGCUUAUAUGAAUGAUUAAUUCUGUUUAUCCUAAUAGUAUUCCAUUGUAUGGCUGUACUACAUGUUGUCUGUUUACCUGUUGAAAGAUAUUUGAAAUAUUGCCAGUUUGGGGUGAUUAUGAAUAGAACUGUUAUAAGGAUUUUUGUACAGGUUUUUGUGUGAACAUAAGUUUUUAUUUUUCUAGGAUAAAUAUUAAGGGUUGGGAUUGUUAAGUCAUAUGUUUGACAUAAGAAAUUGCAAAUUGUUUCAAGAGUGACUGUCCCAUUUUGUGUCCCCACUAGAACCUAGGAGCAUUCUUGCUGCUCAGCAUCUUUGCCAACAUUUUAAGUAUUUUUCAAUUUUAUGUGUUUUAAAUUUAUUUUGGCUUAAUUAGGAUUUCCCAAAUUAGAUGGCUAACAGUGUUAAACUGUUCACGCAGUCAGCUGCCUUUCAUCUGUCCUGCUUGGUGAAUGGACUCUAUUCAAAUUUUUUGCUCAUUUUGUAUUUUCUUGCUGUUGAGUCGUGAGCACUCUUUACAUGUUCAGGGUACAAAUUAUGUGUCGAAUAUGCCAUUUGUCAGUAGUUUCUCCCAGUUUGUAGCUUGUUCUUCUUUCUCUUGACAGUGUCUUUGACAGAACAAAAAAUUUUUAAUUUGAUGAAAUUGAAUUUGUUUUUUUUUUCUUUUAUGGAUGGUAUUUUUGUGUCAUGCCUAAAAGUAAUCUUCAUAACUCUGUCGCGAUGAUUUUAUCCAUAGGUUCUAAAAGUUUUAUAGGUUAACAUUUUACAUUUACAUCUGUAAUCUAUUUGAAGUUAAUUUCUAUAUGAGGUGUGAAGUUUAUGUUGAGGUUCACAUGUUUUAAGUUUACAUUGAAAUUCACAUGUUUUUGCAUAUGAGUGCUCAGGUUUUACAACACUUUAUUUAAAUAUUAUCCUUUCUCCAUUGAAUUGUCUUUGCACUUGUUUGAAAAAUAAUUGGCCAUAUUUUAGUGGGUCUCUUUCUUGACUAUUUUGUUUCAUUAAUUUAUGUGUCUGUCCCUUCCGCAGUACUAUACUGUCUUAAUUGAUGUCGCUUUUUAGUAAGUUUUAAAAUCACAUAGUGAAAUUCUUUUAAUUUUAUUCAAAAUUGUUUGACUAUUCCAGUUUCUUUGUUUUAGCUUUUUAGAAUUAGUUUGCAUCUAUGAGAUAUACCUGGGGUUAGGGGUUGAUUGGAAUCCUAUUACAUCUAUAGAUCAAAUAGGAAAAAUAGACAUCUUUAUGUUGAGUCUUCAAAUCUUCAAAUGUGAUGUAUAUUUAUUUACAUCUUUGAUUUCUUUUAUAGUGUUGUAGUUUUCAUCAUACAGCUCUUUUAAAUGUUUUGUUAGAUUUAUAUCUUAGUAUAUCAGUUUUUUAGAGCCAUUAUAAAUGGUAUUUUAAAAUUUCAGUUUCUAAUUGUUCAUUGUCAGUUUAUAAAAAUAGGAUUGACUUUAGUAUUUACCUGUAUCCUAAACCUUGAAACCUUACUCAGUUCUCAGUGUUUUUUUGUUUUUGUUUUUGUUUUUGUUUUGGGGGGGGGGGGGUGCUGGAGAGGUUCUCUGGGAUUUCUACAUAGACAAAUAUUUCUGUAAAUGUAGCCACUUUUUUCUUUCAAAUCUGUGUGCUUCCUCCCCAUACACUUUUUCUCAUUAGCUAGGAUUUCAAAUAUAGUAUUGAAUACAAGUGACAGAAGUAAAUAUCAUUGAUUUGUUUGCAAUUACAGAGGAAAGCAUUCACUUUUUCAUGAGUAAGUUUGAGGAUAACUGUAGGAAUGUCCUUCCUUCUACUUGAUUUGGGAUUAUUUUACUCUUCGUUUCUUCUAGCUUUUUGAAGUGGACACUAACAUAAUAGUUUUGAGAAUUUUUUUUGUGAAUAUAAGCAUUUAAUAUAUUAACUAUAAACUUUUUCUGAGCAUUGCUGAACUCCUUCAAAUAAAUGUUGACAUUUUUUAUUUUCUAAUUGCCCUUGACACUUCCUUUUUGUCCUGUGUGGAUUACUUAGAAGUUCAUUCAUUGUUUAAUUUACAAAUUUUUAGAGGUUUUUCUGUUAUUGAUUUCUAGGGUAGAUUCACUAUAGUCAGAGAACAUAUACUAUGUUACUUUAGUUAUUUUAUUAAAUUUGUUAAAAUUUGUUUUAUGACCUUAAAGAUAUGUUCAUAUUGGUGAAUGUUUGGUGUACUUGAAAACAGAAAAUACUUAGCUGCUGUUAGGUGGAAUGUUCUGUAAUUGUCAGUUAGAUCCAGUUGGUUGUAGUGUUAAGUUUUAUAUUCUUGUUAAUUUUUUUGUGUGUGUGUACUACAUUUUUUGUUACUUAGAUUACUGAGAGACAGAGACAGCAUUGAAUUCUCCAACUAUCAUUGUAGAUGCCCCUGAUUCUGAAGUUCUGUCAAUUGUUUGUUAAUACAUUGAGGAUUAUGUUAUUUGUAGUAAGUUGGCCCUUUAUCAUAAUGUUUUGCGUCUUUUUUAUGCCUGCUUAUUUUCUUUGCUUUGAAAUUUACUCUGAUAAGAGCACAGCCACUCCAACUUUUUUUCUUAUAUUUAUUUUUUAGUUAUAGGAGGACACAAUAUCUUUAUUUUAUUUGGUGCUGAGGAUUGAACCCAGUGUCUCAUGCAUGCCCAAGUGAGCACUCCAGCUCUGAACCACAACCUCAACCCUCAACUUACUUUUGAUUAGAUUUCUAUGCAAUGUUUUCCCUCCCAUCCUUUCAGUUAUAAUCUACCUAUUUCAUCAUAUUUGACAUGAAUUUCUUGUAGGUAGAAUAGAAUCCGGUCAUCCUUUUUAAAGAAAAUCUAAUCUUCAGUGUUUUGUUUUAUUUCGUGUGUGGUGCUAGGAAUUGAACCUAGGGCUUCGUGCAUGCUAGCAAUUGCUUUACUACUGAGCUAUGCCCCCAGCCCUUUUUGUUUUUUGUUUUGGGACAGUGUCUCACUAAGUUGCUGAGGCAGGCCUUGAACUUGGAAUUCUCUUGUUUAAGCUUCCCAAGUCACAGGGAUUGUAGGUGUGCCCACUGCUCUGGCUUUAUCUUGUUGUUUGUAGAUCAUUUAAAUUUAAUACAUGUAGUCAUAUGUUUAAUUUUUUUUUGUUGUUUGCUUUCUUUCUUUCUUUUUCUGCUCAUCUUUAAUCUCCUUACUGCCUCCUUUUAGAUUAUUUCAAGUUUUUAAUAUUCCAUUAUUUUUUAUCUGUUGUGGGUUUUUAAAAAUUGUAUCUCAUCAUAGUGUAAGAGUACCCAUUAGUUUGUGUAGUUGCUCUAAGGGUCAUAUACAUGUUUAGAAUAAGUAUUUUUCCAUUUAUGUGGGAUGCAGAAAUUUUAACACUGUAUGUUUCUUUACCUCCUCUCUUAAGUAUAUUAUCUUAUUUAUAACGUACACACAUGGAAAGCCAUAUUAGACAAUUAUGUAGUUUUUGCUUAUAACUGGCAAACAUGUUUUGAAUAAUUUAUUAUAUUACUAAGAUGGCUACCUUUUUUUAUUCUUUCUUCAUUACUGAUGUUUCAGUUUUCUCUUUAUAUCAUUUUCCAUUGUCCUUGAGUAAUUGUUCUAGAUCAGAUCUGUUGGCAAUAAAUCCUUUUCGUUUUAUCUUCACCUUAGAGUAUUUUUAUUUCAUUUUCAAUCCUAAAGGAAAUUUUCAUUGGGUAUAGAAAUUUUAAAUUGAUAGUUCUUUUCUUGGAGCCCUUUAAAAAUGUGCUAUUUCCUUUUGAACUCCAUGGUUUCCAGUGAGAAGUUUAUAAGCAAUUCAUCACCCCCCCCCCCCCCCCGCCACUAUUUGGACUAUAGUGUGCCUGGGCAUAGUUUUCUUCUGUUUGAUUUUUCUGAGUUUCUAGGAUCUUAUAUACCUGUGCUUUUACCAGGUUUGUUUUUUCAGUCACUCUUUGCUCAGAUACUUUUCUCCAUUGCAUUCUUUUACUUUCUUUUCAGAGUACUGAUUAGACCUUUUGAUAUCCCAAAGGUUCUUGGGGCUCUGUUCAUUUUUUUUUCCCCAGACUAGAUCAUUUUCAUCAGUCUGUCUUCAAGUUCACUGACUCUUUUGUCAUAUCAGCUGUACUUACUAAGCCUAUCUAGUGAUUAAUUUUAGUUAUUCUGUUUUUCAGUUCUAAAAUUUCCAUUUGUUUCUAUAGAAGUCUCCCUUCUCCAUGGUUUCAGUUACUCAUGGUCAGCCAUAGUCUGAAAAUAUUAACUUGAAAAUUCCAGAAAUAAACAAUUCAUAAAUUUUAACUUGAGUUAAAACUGCGUAGUGUGAUGGAAUCUUGUGUUAAUAUUCAUUCAUUAAUCAAUUAAUGAACGAAUGACUAAUUCAUUCAUUCAUUAAUUGACCCAUGAACAAAUUGGUCAAUUAGACAAGUAGCUGUCUUUUAUUGGAUUGACUUAUCAGUUUCUCAGUGCAUGUGUAUGGGAUUUAGUACUACCACAAUUUUGUGUAUCACCUGCAAUUCUUAGAAUGUAUCCCUUUAGAUAAGGAGUGACUGCUGUGUUUCAUAGCUUCUGUUUCUUUUCUGAAACAUUCUGUUUGCUUCAUGACUGUUGGCACAGUCUUUGGCCCUACCUCAAAUCUACUAAAUUAAAUUCAGGGAAUGGGGUCUAGUAAUUUGUUUUGAAAAACCCUCUGAUACCCUAUACAUACCGAAUUUAAGAAUUACUCCUCAAUGUCGUAUAACUUCACAAGCACUCAGUAUGGCUUAAUUUCUUAGCAAAACUGUAAUAGAAGGUAAAAUUGCUUUUUCACAUUGUUUGAAACAUGCUAGUAUGCUCAAAUCUAAUUUAUUGCCAAGAUCACUAACACAUAGAUUGAAAUUCACACUUUUCUUUAUUACCCAAGACGUUAAAUAAAUUAUAAACACCACAACUUAAAAUUGUUGAAUGUACAUAUAUAAGGAAAUUAAACUUUGAUGUAGUUUUUGGCCAAUAAAUCACUUAGUCUCUGAUCAUUACAAUGCUAUAAAAUGUCCUGUAUGUUAAAUUUCAGGAUGUUAGUAUUUUUUGUUCUAGAUUUUAGGCUAACUUUCAGAUUAAGAUUGGGUUGAAUAUUUGGAAGAUGGGUCUUAUUCUAUAUAAUUUCUUUUUUGCACAGAAGAUUAAUUUACAUAUGCUUAUAAGGUAUUUAUGUAAAUUUGCCAUUCAGGACAAAAAUGUCAGUCUUAUCAUAAGAGUCUGUUUUUUAAUUAAUCUAUAAAUCACAUAGACCUUGAGGUGUAUGUAGGUUAGUGGAUUAGAUUAGUAGGUAUAUGAGGAUGUGUGGGUUGGUUAUGAUGCAUUGUUUCUCUUGUUAUAAACUUUGGGGUCAGAAACACUUGUUUUCAAUUCCUAGAUCUUUUACUGAUGAGGGGAUUGGGGAAAUCAAAUAUUAAUUUUACAUUAUAGAAAUAGAUUAUAGAUUAUAGUCUAUUAAUGUUUGUGUUAGAUUUCAAGUCCAUUACCCCAUGGUUUCUGCAUUAGCAACAGACCUCCUGUCUGCUUAAUACUAGUCAAGGAAUAGCAGUGUUAAGGAAAAAAGGACUGCUGAAUACUGAAUGUUAUUAUAUCUUACCCUAAUUAAUGUUAUUGUAUCUUACCCUAAUUCACGUGUUGAAAUCUAAUCCCCAGUGUAGCUGUAUUAGGAAGUAGAGCCUUUGGGAGGUGAUUAUGUCAUGAGGAUGGUACCUGCAUAAGUGGGAUUAGUGCCUUUAUAAGAGGCCAGUGAGAUGCGAGUUCUUUCACUAUGUGAUGUUUCCAUGAGAAAAUGUCCAUCUGUGGAAUCAGAAAGCGGGCCUUCCCAGACACAAAAUCUGCUGGUACUUUCAUUUUAGACUUCCAGCCUCAAGACUGUGAAAAAUAAAUUUCUAUUGUAUACAAGCCACCCAGUUUUUGGUAUUUUUGUUUUAACAGCUGUAGAAGACUAAGACAAGGGCCCUGCCCUCAAGAAUCUUACUAUCUAUUGGAAUAAACAGGAAAACAGUUUAUUAUGCAAAAGAAAUUAUUGCUAUGAUGAAGGUAAGUUCAUGGUACUCUGGAUGUGGCAUGUUGGAACCAGGUCUGACCCACAGAGCUAAGCUGUUUGUAGUUUGAAAUCAACUGGUGGUAUAUACACCACAGAAACCCACAAGUGUGCAUAUAGUCAGUUCUGCUAUAAUGGAACAUUUGCAUUCCUAAAAGUCACUAAAUAAAAGGAAAACUGGGAUUGAGACGUAACUUACACUUUUUUUUUAAAAAAAAGCAACCUAAUAAAAAUGAUAGCUUAGUUUUACAUGUUAAAAUGGUUAAGAAAAAUGAGUAUUACAGCAAAUAUGGUAUUUCACAUUGAUAAAGACCUGAAGUUCACUUGUGGAAGUAGACAUGGGAAAAUUGUGUCUUGUGGUUUCUGUGAAAUGGUAGAAGGUUGUCAGAAAUCGGAUAGAAAGUUAACACCAGAUGUGAACGGGUGUGACUGAUAACACACAGGUGAACUGAGGUAGCUGGGAAGUGUUUGAGGUGUGUGUAUGUGCUGUAUAUUCUUCUCAGUUGGGGGCAGUUUUCUGCAUUAAACUAGUAUUUAAUGACACAUGAGCAAAUGGGAUUUGUAUUAUUGUCAUAUUGUUCCCCAAAGUAACCUGCACAUUGAAACAACUUGGAGUUUUCAAAACCAACAUUGUAGCAGAACUGAGUGGUCAGCAUCCAGCCCACUCUGAGACCUGUUUUAUAACAUGCCACUGAAAAUGGCACUUGAAAAGACUUAAGGAAUGAGUAUGGUAUUUUGUCAAGUAUAGUAAAUGUAGAAGGAGUGCAUACCAGAGAACAACAGCAUGUGGAAAGGCAUACAGAAGAAAACCUAUUGCAUUCAGGAAACGUAUGUGGUUAGAACUUGAAAGGAAGGAAAAAGAAACUCUGUUAAUAAAACUUAAUGAUUAAGCAGGGGCCAAAUUCACAAUGACCAGAUAUCUAAUUGAAAGAAUGUACAUUUUAUCUCUGAAGGUGUAGAGACCAGGGAAUUUUGAACAGGGAAUUAUAUAUUUUUUUUUUAAUAAUUAUUUUUUAGGUGUAGAUGGACACAACACAGUGCCUUUAUUUUUAUGUGAUGCUGAGAAUGGAACCCGGGUCCCGCCCAUGCUAGGUGAGCGCUCUACCACUGGGCCACAAUCCCAGCCCCGGGAAUUAUACUUUCUAAUAUGAUUUAUAUGGCACUAUCUGGUGACAGUAGGAUGGUAGUUUGAAGAAGACCAUUGGGAUCUGAGAAUCUAGGGAGCUCAGGAGGAACAAGUGUGUGUCUUCCAUAGAGCUAUAAACGCUUUACGGACAACUGUGUCCUUUCUUUGUUCCUAGUAAUCAUUAUUAUUGUAAUUCUGUUCUUGAUUUUAAGAGCUGGGGUCAUGAGCAGAUGGUAAUGAGCAGGUGAAUUUAUAGCCAGCUUUACAAUAGCUAUUUUCACUAUUAGCUUUAUUCUUACAGUGUUUAAAAGUGGUGUGGUGAAUCAUUUGAAGAAGUUUUAACAUCUUAAGGUGCAUUCAUUGAAAAAUAAUUAUAUGGGCCAAAGUUCUCUUUGCCCACUGAAUCCCUUUGGCGGGGGCACUGGGAAUUUAACCUGGGGGGGGGGGACAAUUUACCACUGAGCUACAUCCCCAGCCCAUUUUUUUUAUUUUGAGACAGAGUCUCACUAAGUAGCUUGAGGCCUUGCUAAAUUGCUGAGAUUGGCCUUGAACUUACGGUCUUUCUGGUUCAGCUUCCCAAGCCAUUAGAAUUAUAGGCAUGCGCCACUGUGUCUGGCUAGAUUCAUACUUUUUCCCAAAUUAUAAGAAAUGAAGAAAUAAAAGGAGAAAACUCAAGGGUUAAAAAAAAGCUAUUACUACAUUCCUUCAAGUGAAAGUUAUAUUUAGAUGCAGAUGAUUUGAGUAACAAGUCUAAAUUAAGAAAGCCAUAUAUCCCUUCCUUUAAAAAAUUGUUUUCUCACUUUGUACCUUAGCAAGUGUUUUGAUGUGUGUUACAGAGAGUAGGGCACUUAUAAUCUGGUUGAAUAUACCAAAAGCACACUAAAUCCAAUUGGAAAUAGGCUUAAAACCUAAAACCGUGCCUAUUGCUUCUAGGUACUUAAUUCACAUGUCCCACAGUGUAUUUAGGUUAUAAUUAUUAUACAACAAAUAUUUGUUAAAAGGCUAAAAUGCAGUACUCAAAUUUAGGGACAGUUAGAGCCAAAAAGUAAUGGAAACAUUGCAAGUUUUUUUAAAAGAAUUUUUUGAUCUUUGAGACUGAAGAGUGUAAUUAAUAGGUUAUGGAUUACAGAGGCUAUAUACUCAGAGUAAUUUGACUCAAUAUUUCUUUGAGGCAAUAGUUGCUGCUGUUUUUUUUAUUUUCACAAUUGGGCAUUGAUGGGAUUUUUAUUUUUAAUGAUAAAAUUUAAAAGUUACAAAAAUUACACAUGAUCAUCUUAGAACAAUAAAGUAUUCUACUUGUUUAAAUAAAAAUUAAAGUUCCUCAUAUGCUUCAAGAGUGCUGAUUUUUUUUUUUUAAUUCCUUGCCUGCAACUCUUUGAUAGGGAUCAGGUCAUCAAAUACCAAGUUCCUACUAUAGAUAAUGUUCACCUAAGACUUACUAACCUAUGACAGCCAUUUGUGAAAAGAAACCAUGAAUGUGGGCGUAUAAAAAUGAAAUUUAUUAUCAGGAAGUGGUUAUAGUUACACUGUAAAUCAUUUACCUCAGUUUACUUUAAAGGUAGAUAUUUCCAGUCCUUACUUAAUCUUGACAGCUCCAAAUUAUACAUAUUUCCAUAUUCCUCUACCUUAAUUUUCUCAGAAGUUAUAAUCUUUUCUUUUAUGCCAGUAUUUUUUCUAGUCCUUUGCAUUUACUAAAACAGUAUUGUACCUUUCUGUCAUGAAGUUUUUUCUCUUUAACCCCUGUCCUCCAUACAUUCAUUCAUACUGCUUUAUUUUCUGACUGAUCUGUUUGGCUCUUCUAAAACAUGCAGUGAAUUAUCUAUGGAGUCAUAAUCACUUAUAAGACAAAAGUCAAAGAAUAAAAGCACUUUGAUUAGCAUAACAUGUAAGAUCCUUUAGUGUCUCUCUUCUCUGCCUUUCAGGUUGCUUUUUCUUUUACUGUACAUCUGCUGUACGUCAGCCAUUGGAACCCCUCUCUGCCUUUGGGAAAGGCAGGUCUUUUCCUGAGUCUGUGCUUUUGCAGUGUCUCUGUCUGAAAUGCCCCUUUCCACCUGACAGAUAAUCAUUCUUUAAAACCCAGCUCGAAAUCCUCUUGUCUAUAAAACCUGCCUGUUCCCUGUGGAUGUUAGGUUUAGUUAGGUGUAUGUUGCAAGUUAUGAAAACUCCAAAAUCCCAACAGGCUAAAGACAGCAUUAACUUCUGAACUCUGAACGGUGGAAGUUCAGAGUUUAUAAUGUAAGGCUAAAAUGACAACUCUGCUUCAUGAAGUCAUUUUUAGCUCAUGGCUUCAGAAUGUCUCAGAUUUGACCUUAGGCCUCAUAAUUCAAAACUGGGUGUCUUUAUUUUAAACAGCAGGGUACAGGAAGAAAAAAAGAAAGGAAGGAGGGAAGGGCCUAUGCCAGAGGUCUCUUAAGAAAGCUUUCCUAACCAAAGGUCGAAUAUGCUGAUACGUAGAUGCUAACACACAAUAAGGCGGGCAGGGAGACUGGAAGUUCAUUGGAUUAGACAAAGGGGAAUGAAGGGAAGGGAGGAGGGAUGCGAAUAGGAGACAGUGGAAUGAAUUCGGCCUAACUUUCCUCUUUUCGUAUAUGAAUACUGACCAGUGAAACUGCAGAUCAUGUUCAGCCACAAGAAUGGGAUCCUAAUUAGAACAUCAGUUAUACUCCAUGUGUGUGUAUGUAUAAUAUACGUCAAAAUACAUUCUACUGUCAUGUAUGUCUAAAAAGAACAAAUUAAAUAAAGAAAAAAUGUUUUCCUAAAGCUUCCAUCAUAUAUAUGUGCUUCAUUUCACUGACCAGAACUUAGUCCAUGGCUGCAAAGAAGGUUGGAGAAAUGUAAUCUUUAUUCUGGGUAGCUUUGUGCCAGUUAAUUAUGUUAUUAUGGAAGAAAAGGAGAACAGGCAUGGGGACAGCUUGCAGUCUGGCACAUUCCCUCAACUAGAGGUAGUUGCUUUGUGCUUUGCAUUCCCAUGGCACUCUUAAUUAAUUCACACUUAAAUUGUAAUUUAUUUCCCUUUUCUCCUGGAUUGUAUACUUCUCAGAGACUGUGUUUCAUCUUGUUAUCUCCAGCACCUUAUAUAAAGUUUACCACAUGGUCCAUGGCCCAUGUUGAAUUAAUAAACAUAUUCAGGAAGAGUGCAGCAAAAAUAUCAGAGACACACACCAAUAGCAAUAUUUAAAUUCCAAAGUAUUUAAAUAAGCCAUUGCUUAUAUAGACAUUAGUGUCUACUUCUUAUACUUAAAUUUUGUUUUUCUUUUCUUCAUUAAAUGAAGAGAAGUAGAUACUGCCAGUUGUAAAGGACUUGGCUUGUCCUUUUAAAUAUCUCAAGAUGGAUUGAUCCAUCUUGCUACUAACAAGCACCUGAAGUGUUCAGUGAAACCCAAAUAAUGGUCCAUCCCUACACUAGACUAUUAUUUCUCUAAUUAUAUGACCAUUAUCAUUACUAUAAGAUAUUAUACCUUAGGACAAUCUCUAGUCCAUGAUUAUUGGACUAUACCUUAGGAAUAAGGUAUUUUUAAAAGUUAUUUUUAAAGAAAAUAACUUUUUCUUUAAAAAUCUGAAUGUAAAUUUUUAUCCCUUUCUUAGGUACUUAUAAGAAGCAGUAUAAAACCAUUCUUUGUCUUUUGAAUCUUAAAGUACAGUUGUACAGAUAAAAUUGACUUGAUCUGAAUAAAAAAGAACAAUUUGUAGUGUUAAUUAUAACAAUUGUAGUGUUAAUUGUAAAUCCUUUUAGGGAAAUCAACAGGUAGAUAUUAGAACUUGAUGUAGAUGUUAAAAAUAGAAUGGUGGAGGGCACAGUGGAGAAGGUGCUUCAGAGUAAGGAGAAUUAAGUUUGAAUAAAAUGGGGCCUAAUAAUAGAUGGCAGUAAGCGAACAGCAGGCACAAGAUACUGUAGCUGUUAAAUGUUCAGAAAGGAGAUAAGUCUGGCAGAGUUAUGAGUCUGGGAAGAUGGGAGAGACUAAGGUGUUUUAGAAUGGAAAAAUGUGACAAAAUAAAUCUAGACAAUGUUACAGGUAGAGAGAAAAGGUACAUUUGAGGAACAUUUUGGAAAAAAAGCUAUUGAAUUAGGCAACAUUAAAUAUGAUGAUGUUAAGGAAGAAUAAAGUACUCCUAAAUAUUUUCUAGCAGUUCUGUAGAAACAUGGUAAUGACAUCCCAGUUUGGGGAGAAAUAUUAAAUUUUAAAUAAGUAAAUUUGAUGUACAUUGGAGAACAUCCAAAGUGGGCCAGACUUUGAGGCUGUUAAUGAACUAAAGAGUGUAUUUAAAAUGUGGACUAGAAGUGUUUCCCAUCAACACCCACCUGUACUCAAGGAGGUAAAAAUUGGUCCUAGAAAAUACUUGGGGGAAGGUAAGAACAUAGAUUCUCAUAGCUUCUGUAUAUAGGUAAAAAUUCUUUAAAAUCAAAUAAAGAUUUUUCUCCAUUAGCUUCACUUCACUGAAGGAACUAGGUUAGUUAACUAGAUGAAAUGCAUAUCCAGGAAAGUGAAGUUUUUCUCAUAAAAUUAAAUAAGGGAGCCACUUGCUUUAUGUGGCUUAGUAAGGUGCAAAAUGAACAAGAACUCAGAUUCUUUAAUAAAGAAUAACAUCUUAGAAUUAAUAGUUAAUUGUAGCAGAAUAAUAUGUCAAGGAGAAGUACAUUCUUAAAAAUACUCUUAUUGAAAGUUAUUGAAUUAACUCUUACAUAGUUUAAUUUUACAACAUUUAAAAUAAUUUACAAUGUAUAAUUGAAUGUUCUAUAUUUUCCUUUAGUGGAACCUUCAAUUGGAUUGUCUUUGCCACAUAUUUGUGGCUUUCUCAGAAUGCCUCUUUGUGUAGAUGGGAAAAUAUGUAUAACCAUAUUGAAGUCAAGUAGAAAAAAAAUUGGCACAAUCAUGUUUCCAUGAUUAUUGGACUAGAGAUUGUCCUAAGGUAUAAUAUCUUAUAGUAAUGAUAAUGGUCAUAUAAUUAGAGAAAUAAUAGUCUAGUGUAGGGAUGGACCAUUAUUUGGGUUUCACUGAACACUUCAGGUGAUUGUUAGUAGCACUUUGCUGUUGCCUAUAACAAAUAUUGCUCUCUUUGCUCUGUCUUGUGUAUGCUUUUUCCCCCUCUUUAUUUUCCUUUUUAUAAUAAAAUGUAAAAUAUAUAUUUCUGUGUAUGUAUAUGUACACACACAUAGAAAACAGUGAAUGUAAGAUGAGCGGUUUUAAGGCGUAUUUACUACCCAGAUUAAGUAAUAGAACAUUGGGAGUAUACCAAGAAGCUUGUUGUAUUGCCCCUUCUCAGUUGAACACUACCUGUUGCCACUCCAUUCCAGCCUUCAGAAGUAAGCAUUUUUUAAAAUAUUUAUUUUUUAGUUAUAGGUGAACACAAUAUUUUUAUUUUAUGUGGUGCUGAGGCUCGAACCCAGUGCCUCACACAUGCCAGGCAAGCGCUCUGCCUCUGAGGUACAACCCCAGCCUAGAAGUAAACAUUUUUAUAGUUUGGCAAAAUCAUUUUUUUCCUUGUCUGUAAAGGUUUACCAUCUAAUGUAUCCCUAAAUGAUAUAGUUUAAUUUUGGUUUUAUUUUUGUUUUUUUUUGGUACUGGAGAUUGAACUCAGGGUCACUUUACCACUGAGCUACAUCUCUAGCCGGUUUUUGAGACAGGUUCUUGCUGAGUUGCUGAGGCUGGCCUUGAACUUAUAUGAAUAGGUCACAAUACAUGUUUUCUUCAUUGUAUUUCAUAAUAUUGAAACAUUUAGCUGUGACUAUUCUACUAUAUAUUUCUUGGUACACAUGGGCACCAGUGUUUACCCUCAGGAGUAGAAUUGCUGUCAUUAGAAAAUUUCAUAUCCUCAAAUUCACUGGAUAAUACCAAACUAUUUUUCAAAGCAGUUAUACUAAUUUAUAUUCACCCCAACAGGAUAUGAGCAUUCCUAUUGUUUUACAUUCUUGCUGUUGCAAAAUUAAGUAUUUUAGGCAGAAGAACUGUAUCUUUGUGAUUUUUAUUAAGGAGUUCUUUAUAUUUUCUGAAUGCUCAUCCUUUAGUCUUCAACCAUUUUUAUUGAAAAUGUUAUUUCCUACUUUUGGGUUGUGGGGUUUUUUUGGUUUGUUUGUUUGUUUGUUUUUGUUGGUAUCAGGAAUUGAACCCAGGUGCACUUAACCACUGAGCUACAUCCCCAGUCCUUUUUAUUUUGAGACAGUGUCUCACUAGGUUGCUUAGGGCCUUACUAAGUUUCUGAGUCUGGCUUUGCUUCUUCUGCCCCAGCCUCUAUGAGCCACUGGGAAUACAGGGAUGUGCCUGACCCUGUUUGGUGUUUUUGAUGGACAAAAAUUCUUAAUUUUAAUGUCAUGUAAUUUAUUAUUACAAAUAAUACUUUUUUUCCUGAAAAAACUUGCAGAUCUUAGAUUUAUCCUAGAUAUUUCAUACCAUUGAGGCUAUUGUAAAUGAUAUAUACUUUUACAUUUCAUUUUAUUACAAACAUAUAGGAAUAAAAUACAUGCUUUAUAUAUUGAUUAGAACCUGUUAUCCUUUCUAAAUUCUUAUUAGUUCUUAAAAUUUAUUAUCAUUUUGGAGUUUGGAAUAUGUAACUAUAUCAUGAGAAUAAUGAUAUUUUUGUUCUUGGCAAAAUUAUAUGAGUCUAUAGGGAUAAAAUUAAUCAGUGUCUUUUGUUUUUUGUGUUAAGCUGGCUAGUAUCUUCAUCACAAUGUGGAUACGGGGCAUCCUUAUUUUAAGAAACACUUAAAUCUCAGUGAUCUCACUGUUUUAUCAAGGAUGUGGUGACAUUUGUUUUUUAAAGACUCUUUAUCAGGUUAGUUAAAGGUUAUUUUUCACUAUAGUUUGCCUAAAAGUUUUCAUCACAAAUGGAUGUCAUAUCUUACCAAGUGCUUUUUCUAUCUCUAAUGAGAUUAUCCUAUACUUUUAUUCUUUAUCAUUGUGAUAAUUUUCAUUAGUUGAUUUUCUAAUGUUAAUCCAACCUUGCAUUCUUAGGCUGUAUCUAACUUGAUCGUUUUUAUGUAUUGCUGGAUUUUUUUAAUGUUUUACUUAAAACAUAACAUGAAAGACUUGUAUCUGUAUUCAUGAGAGAUUAUUCUGUAUUCUUUCUUCUCAUAGUGUACUCAUUGGGCUUUGAUAUUAGGUUAUGCUAGACUAAUAAUAUGGGGAAUAUUUAGUAAAAGCUUUGUAUAUUGGAAUCUUUUUUCUGAAAUGAUGAUAGAAUUAGCCAAUAAAGAAAUCUAGGCCUAGAGGUUUCUUUUGGGAAAAGAAUUUGACUGCAGAUACUUUUAUUUGGUUCUUUUACAUGUUUUCCAUACUAAUUUUUGUCAAGUUUGACUUUUAUUUUAUAUGGUUGGUAAGCAUUUUAGUGUUAAUCUCUAAGCUUGGUCAUUUUGAUACCCACAACAUCUGUGGAUCUAUCUGUUCCUGUGGAUUCUUAUUCUUACCCAUGAUGAUUUGGUUUGUGUAUGCAAGAUUUGAUUCUCUUGCUUAUUUUUCUUAAAAUUAUGUGUGGGUAUUCUUUGAGGCCUAGAAUGAAGAAUAUAUCUUCCUUUAGAGAUGGUUUGUUUGCUUCUACUAAAAUGUGUGUUCAAACCACUAGCCCAGGAAUAUUUUAAAAGAAUUUCACAUUUAAAGUUACCUGGGUUAUAAACUCCCUGCAAACCCAGACUGCAAAUCCUUGUUUCAUCCUUUUUUCUCUUGAUUGUCUUGGGGCUUAAACAACCUUCCCUGAAGUCUCUUAGGGGUAGCAUUGGAUUUCGGUUUAAUUAUAGUUUCCCCUCACGUGAAGUCAUAGCCCUUUCGGAUAACUAGUGUGGAGAAGGAGUUCUGUUAUGGUUUGAUUCUUAAGUGUCCUCUGAGAAUUCAUGGGUUGAAGACUUGGUCCCCAGUGCAGCCGUGUUUGGAGGUGGGGUCUUUGAGAGGUGACUGGACCAUGAGGGCUCUGAACUCAUGAUCAUGGAUUAAUCCAUGAUAAAUUCAUGGCUUCAUGGGUUUCAGGGAAUGGACUUCCUUACAAAAGUGACCUCUGUCUUUGCUUCCUAGUUGCCAUGAGGUGAGCAGCUAUGCUCUGCCAUGUGACCCUUAUCGUGAUGUUGCCUCAUCAUAGGCCUGUAAUAAUGGAGCCAGCCACACAUGGAUUGAAGUCUCUGAAACUGUGAUCCAAAAUAAAUUCUCCAGCUUUUGAGAAAUCUGUACCUUGACAUUUUUUAAUUUAUCCUCUGAGGCUAUUGAAAACAGACUUAAUUUGAAAUACAUCUGCAGGUAUGUACCAGGGCCAGUGUCUGGUGGAGUGGGGGC